rnacentral:rRNA from 1 species
GUGUCAGCAGCCGCGGUAAUACAGAGGGUGCGAGCGUUGUCCGGAAUCACUGGGCGUAAAGGGCGCGUAGGUGGCGCGACAAGUCAGUGGUGAAAGUUCGACGCUUAACGUCGAAUCGGCCACUGAUACUGUUGGGCUUGAGCACUGUAGAGGCUAAUGGAAUUCCGGGUGUAGCGGUGGAAUGCGUAGAGAUCCGGAAGAACACCGGUGGCGAAGGCGGUUAGCUGGGCAGUUGCUGACACUGAGGCGCGACAGCGUGGGGAGCAAACAGGAUUAGAAACCCUGGUAGUCC